ACUUGGACUUUUUGGGUAUAUUUUACCUUCUCAGUACCAAAUUUCUCUUCUAAAGCCUAAAUUUGCAUUGAACACCUAUAGCAAAUCAUUCAUCCCAGCUCCCUUGGGCCAACUGCAUUUGACCUUGGACCUUAGGGUUAAGGUCGUGGAUGAAAAUUAAUGGAAAACUACUCUUUCCUGUAUUAUUUGGCCUUAAUUUUCACUGUCCCCCACCAUGAAAUAGGAGGACCAUUGAAAUGGACUCCAUGCAUCUAUACAUGCUUAUUUGUUUAAC